rnacentral:rRNA from 1 species
GAUGAACGCUGGCGGCGUGCUUAACACAUGCAAGUCGAACGGCAAGGCCUGUUCUUCCUUGUGUUGGACGGGUACUCGAGUGGCGAACGGGUGAGUAACACGUUAUUGAUCUGCCCCCAACUUGGGUCUAAGCCUGGGAUACUGGGUCUAAUUUCCGAUCGGACUGCAGGGUGGUGCCUGUGGUGGAAAACGAUUUUCUAGUGGGUGGGGAUGAGCUGGCGGCCUAUCAGCUUGUUGGGGGGGCAAUGGCCUACCAAGGCGGCGACGGGUAGCCGGCCUGAGGGGGUGGAGGGCGACAUUGAGACUGAGCAGCGGGCCAGACACCGACGGAAGGCAGCGGUGGGUAAUAGUGCACAAUGGGAGGAAGCCUGAUGCAGCGACGCCACGUGGAGGAUGACAGCCUGCGUGAAGUAAACUCGUUUCGGGCGCGAGGAAGUCGCCUGGUUGGGAGGGAGAUGACGGUAGUUGAAGAAGAAGCACCGGCUAACUACGUG